rnacentral:rRNA from 1 species
GACAGAGGGGGCAAGCGUUGCUCGGAAUCACUGGGCGUAAAGGGCGCGUAGGCGGCUUUGUAAGUCGGGGGUGAAAGCCUGUGGCUCAACCACAGAAUUGCCUUCGAUACUGCAUGGCUUGAGACCGGAAGAGGUAAGUGGAACUGCGAGUGUAGAGGUGAAAUUCGUAGAUAUUCGCAAGAACACCAGUGGCGAAGGCGGCUUACUGGUCCGGUUCUGACGCUGAGGCGCGAAAGCGUGGGGAGCAAACAGG